AAGAGUUGCAAAACUCCAACCAUCGCGAAUAUAACCUUCUACAAGUUGCUUCGGCGGGCGGCCCUGAGAGGGGCCGCGCUUCUGCUCGCGCGCGCGCGGGAGAGCAAGCCCGCCGGAGUCGUACAAACUCUGUAUUUUGUUGGCAUCUCUGAGUAACUUACACAAUAAGUUA
rnacentral:misc_RNA from 1 species